rnacentral:rRNA from 1 species
UACGGGGGGGGCAAGCGUUGUUCGGAAUUACUGGGCGUAAAGGGCUCGUAGGCGGCCAACUAAGUCAGACGUGAAAUCCCUCGGCUUAACCGGGGAACUGCGUCUGAUACUGGAUGGCUUGAGUUCGGGAGAGGGAUGCGGAAUUCCAGGUGUAGCGGUGAAAUGCGUAGAUAUCAAGAGGAACACCUGAGGUGAAGACGGGUUGCUGGGCCGACACUGACGCUGACAGCGCGAAAGCCAGGGGAGCAAACGGG